rnacentral:rRNA from 3 species
CCUGGUGUUAUUAGCGCUCUGGUUCCACUUCGAUUCCAUCCCGAACUCGAAAGUUAAACGGAGUAGCGGCGAAGAUACUUUUGGGGUAGCCCAGUGGGAAAAUAGUUCGAUGCCAGGA